CUGUGGCACCUGUGGCAGGGCACCUGGUGCUGAGCAGACUCUGCCCGCAGGUACUCCCUGGACUCCUACACAGUGGAACGCAAGUGCCAGUGCUGCCAGGAGCUGCGGACCUCACAGAAGAAGUGAGCCUGACCUGUGCCCACGCAUCCAGCCAGACACUCAGCCACACCCACGCACACACCUAUGCAUGCAUGCACCAACAAGCCCACUCACCAACUGACACCAGCCACUAACUUCAUCGGAGCCUGAAUCCAAGAAGAACAAAGAGCAGAGCCAGGAGUCAGAGAGCAGUAGCUGGGAGGGACUGCUCAGACCCCCCCAGUGAGCUGACCAGAGCCCCCGUGGACUCUGGGAAACACCAAGGAAAACGUCCUUUGAAUCCUCCAAGGCCAGUAGAACAUGCACCUUCGUCAAGGUGGCUGCCGUCUAGGACAUGCUGUCCACCCACCAUGUUCUUUUCAAGGGAGAUCUGACCCUUGAGAUGUCCAUGGAGGUGGGGAGGCCCUCAUCCACCUGUGCCCCCCUGUUCAGGAAUGUGGGGUCAGUGGGGCUCUUCUGGUAUGACUCUGACCUGCUCCUUGGGACUUCAGCAUCACACAAAGCUCUCACUAACAUGGGAUGUGGGUAUUGGCUGCCCUCCUACCUCAGCCAUGGGCCCAUGUCCCCCUCCUCAGGAAAUGACCAAUCUGUUUCAUAAAUA
rnacentral:lncRNA from 1 species